rfam:Clostridium sp. IEH 97212 scaffold_4, whole genome shotgun sequence.
AGUUUGAUUAACUAAAUUUUAAAUUUGGAGUGUCACUUAAGUUGACGAGGAUAUAGGAGUAUCGAAUUUUCGGCGGAUAUCCUAUGGGAUCUCACAGCCCCAAAAGCUAUAAUAAAAGUUAGAAGUGAUUCUAAUGACAAAAAAGCUUUAGUGAGGAC